UGGGCGCCAGGCCGAGCGGCGGCCCCGGCGGGCCCGAGCCCGGGGAGGCCGCGUCCUGGCCAGCGCCCUCCUCCGGGAAUGCGUCCCUGUGGGCUCGCAGAGGACACGCUUCGGUGCUGACUGGCACUACAUGGUCGGAUGACAGAAUUCGUUGGCUUCUGAAAAUGGAUGGCCUGCACAAACGGAGACCUGUGCCUCUACUCCAUCAUGUUGCGUGACUUCUUGAUUUGGUAUGAAAGCUGCAGCCCCGAGAGAUGAAGUGACUCAGCAGAGCCGCAGAGGAAACAGAGGCAGUCAUGACUGGAACUCAGCUUUCCCUGCUCAUAGGCUCGGAUUGUUCCCUUUGCUGCCCACACAGGCCCGUCCUGGCUCCGGCUCUGAGUGUGUGACGUCUCUGUAAUUCAGUCAAAGGCAGUGGCGGCGGCGGGUGCUGUCACCAGGGGACUCUCUGCCUUUGAAUCUCGGCUCCCUGGGAAUUGCAGCAUUGGCAAAUCUGCCAAGAGGGUGUCCUUACAAUUUCUUAGUAGCAGUUUUUCACUCUAUUCUUUUGUUCUUGAAAAUGGAGAUAUUGCCUCAAAGGUAACUUGCCUCAUGUCGGUUCAGUCAGGUUCCGCUGGAGUGAUGGCUUACAUCAGCAAUGUCCCACUGCAUGGUUUGAAGAAACCAGUGGCGAUGUACUCAGGCCAUGUAACAGCAGAGUCCUAAAAUUUUUAUAAACUAAGGCUUCCCAGGUUUUCCCAAAGAAUGAAAAGUUUCAGAAACAAAAUCGAGGGUUCUAGGGUAUGGUAAAAAUUCCUUUUUACAAAAAAAAAAAAAAAAUUUCCUUUUUACAGACAACUUUUUCUAGAUAUUUAGGAUCUUCCUCACACUUCCCGUCAUGCUGAGUGGUAUGCAGGGAGCUUUACGAAGACCUUCCUAAUGGCUGUGUGGGCCUGUCUCUACCUGCCUACACUUGUCAACACCUCUGCUGCAGGGCCAGGAAGGGAGGGACAAAUUCUUCCCACCUUCAACCCCUACGGGGAAGCGCUUGGAUUAAUGAGUAAGUGUUGCCACUGGGGGCCUGUGUCUCCUGCACUCUGGGGAGGCCUCUCUUUAGAGGUGCUCCUAAGUCUUGGGCCUCGAGGAGAACCAGACCAGAGGCAGAGGCCCACUCUCAACAGAUUUUCCCAAAGGGCUUCCUACAUGGCAGAUGGGGUGCCCGGGAAGCAGAGGUUUCCAGGAUAUCUGCCUGCCUUCAUGGUAUUGGUUAGGUUAAGCAAAGGGGAGGAUAGUCAAGUAAAGAAAGGUCAAGUCCUAGAGAUCCUUAGUGGGAAGGAAGUUGAGGGCCUGGUCAGAUAGGGACGCUCUGGGUCCCUUUGGUGCCCUCUCCCUGGCCCCACUUCUCCAUCCAUCCUGUGAGGGUGGGUGGGGCAGGGAGCCCAGGGUGAUGAGGAACCCUGGGGGCUGGGCAAGGUGUGUGGAAGACAGCUGGCAGGGGGAUUUUCUCCACAGUGUUCCAUGGAGUAGGAAUGCCUGCUGGGUUGCAGAUUAGGGAAUUUCUCAGGAGCUCUUUUCCUCAACAAAAGCAAAUUGGAAAGGCCUGGGGGUGGGGGAGGGAGGUGGAGGGGGGCUGGGUAGUUAAUAUUGCUGUUGGCUAACAGCCUUGCUGCCUGGCCACUGACCCUCUGGCCUUGAUCAAUGCUGCCUAAAAGUGAAGAGGGAAUGGUGAGGCCUUCCAAUAGUCCAGUCUGGGCUGCAGAACCUACCCGGAUACCAAUGGGCAUGGAAAGCUGGGAGGAGGCCAAGGGACCAAAGUGAAGUCUGAGGGAAGACAGGGAUUAUUCCUGAGAAACUGGUUUAGCAUCCUCCACGCCUCCAGCCCCACAGUGCCCCUGCCUCUGGUUCAAGCAGGGGGCGCAAGAAGAGAGGGUGAUGGGGCAUGGUCGGGGGGAGAUAGACCAGAGACAAGGCCAGGGUCAGCAGGGUCAGAGGCCCUAAGGUAGGCAUUUUUAUUGUCUUCCCUUCUUGCCAUUAUGCCCUUAAAAUGCUACCGGGGACAGGAGGGAGGGGACGACAGAUCAGAAUCUCAAAAGGUUUAGGAGUGAUCCAAGUGGCUAGGGGCUCUGCUGUUUCCCUGCAUGAGCUUCCCCCCGACCCUGGGAGAAACAGGGUGAGCAUUUCCUGGGGGCAGCCUCUAUGGGUGGGGCUGGCCCACCUGUCAGACGCUGGCUGAGACUGGACUUGAGAUGGAGUGGAAACAAAUCUUUCAGUCAGAGUGAAACAGGCAUUCCUCCACUCAGAAUGAGUUGAGCUGGUCCCAGCAGGGUGGGGUUCAGGGGGUUGACCCCCGAGGAGUUAACAAUGUGAGGAGUUAACAAUGUGAAGGUCGGCUCAGAAACCGGUCAGAGCUGCAACCUGCAGAGUCCCAAGUACUGGACUCACAAGUGUUUUCCUCUUUCCGGCAGAGGAUGUGAUGGGCCUUUGUUGUCCUAGCCCCAGUUCACCAGGAGCAGAGCCUUCUUGACACAUGUCAACUUCUGCGUGAGCAAGGGUUCAGUGAUAAAUCUGGCAGCCCAUGUGAAACAAAGCAGCAAAAAGACACGUGUGGAGAAGGGUUCCCAGUGUCUCUAAAAUGUAGCUCAAAGUAUAUUUUCUUGGGCACAAUUUAUAGGCUAUGCACUGUACUUUAACUCAUUUAAUCCUCACAACAAUCUAAUUUAUGAAUCCAUUCAACAAAUACCUAUUGAGUACCUGCUAGGUGCAAAGCUCUGUGCUAAGUGCUGAGGGUAGCUCAGUGAACAAGACAAGUCGCUGUCCUCAUGAAGUUUACACUCUAGGUUGGACCUAUUAUCUCAUUUCAGAGAUGAGAAAACUAAGGCCUCCUGAAUUUAACCUACUUGCUCAGGUUACUAAGUGACAGGGCAGGGCUUGGAACCCUGGCAAUCUGUUUCAGAGUCCAGAAUGCUAUUUGCUACCAAAUGCUUCCUUUUGGACCAAGGAACCAACACCACCCAUGUGGCACACACCAUUGGUUGCCUCUCUGAGUCCAUCUCUCUCUUUAAUUGGUGGAAGAAACCCAAUUUAUUUGGAUGUACACUUUCAUACCUGUGUGCUGGAGGAAGGGGCCCUGCCCAGUCCCAGCCCCAGGAGCGAAUCUUGAUUAGUUUGAACCAAUCUUCUUAAUUCUCUUCCUUUUGCCAGGGGCUGGUUUAGGCCCUAGGUAUCCUCUAUGUGGACAAGACUAAGUUUGCUGAGAGGGUUUCUGGGCAAAGUUUUCUUGUGCUGUUCUAAGUUGUUGAUCUGGGAACUGUUGUCACCAACUGGGUUUCAUAAGGUGACAGGCCUGAGGACAAAAGCCAACAUGCUGAAGAUGGUGGAAUAGAAAUUUGGGCCCUCCAUAUGUUCUGAGCUCCAGGCUUAUCAUAUGUGAGAUAACAGAUAUUCUUACCCUUUAUGAAAUUUUGGGUUGUUUUUCUGACUUUUAUAGCUGAAAACUACCUAAUACAAACCAGCUCCAAUCCCUGCCAUGCCAUGCAAUCCCAGCCUGGUCUGGCCCUCACUUCCUCCAAGUGUCUUAAAACACAUCUGCUCCACUCCUUUGACCUGUGGUCGCUUACCUUGAAAUGUCCUUUGACUUAUUUCUCUCUACAUCUGUUGGUUUUAACCUGUAACUGUUCCUCUAACUAAAUUAUAAACUCCCUGAAGGGAGUGAGCAUCCUUACAUUUCUUUAUGCCCUCUGUGGCGCCUGUCAUUAAUAUGGAACCCCAGCACAGCUUAAUAAAUACUUCUUGGCUAAUCUUC